GGACCCGCACAAGUAGUGGAGCAUGUGGUUUAAUUCGAAGAUACGCGCAGAACCUUACCAACACUUGACAUGUUCGUCGCGACUCUGAGAGAUUAGAGUUUUCGGUUCGGCCGGACGAAACACAGGUGCUGCAUGGCUGUCGUCAGCUCGUGUCGUGAGAUGUUGGGUUAAGUCCCGCAACGAGCGCAACCCUCACUUUUAGUUGCCAUCAUUUAGUUGGGCACUCUGAAAGAACUGCCAGUGAUAAGCUGGAGGAAGGUGGGGAUGACGUCAAGUCCUCAUGGCCCUUACGUGUUGGGCUACACACGUGCUACAAUGGUAUCUACAACAGGAAGCAAAACCGCGAGGUUAAGCAAAUCCUUAAAAGAUGCCUCAGUUCGGAUUGCACUCUGCAACUCGAGUGCAUGAAGCUGGAAUUACUAGUAAUCG
rnacentral:rRNA from 1 species